CUGUGAGCUUUUUUUUUGUUUGUUUUUUUCUGACGUUGAUGUACAUUUGGUUUCUUUUUUGAAAGUCCUGCAGUGAGAGGUAAAGGCUCGGUAAGGUGCGGAGCUCAGGGCCAGGAGCUGGAUCUCCUCGCAGCACCGUUGCUACAUUGCUGGCUGAUUUUAGCUCACUUGCAUUUCACAAAGGAGGCUUGGUCGUGGCUGCAGUGAUGAGCGUGGCAGGGUCAAAUCCAUGGGACAUCUGGGGCUGGCUCUUCAUGGCAAUGAUAGGUUUGCCAAGCUCUGUUUCAAGCACAAAUUGCUCUGGCUGCGAUUCCCCAACUCAGCACUGACCUUCCAGCUGUUCCCUCCCUUCCUGCUCGGAUGGAGAGAGGAAACUACUGUCAAGGCACCUUGGACUUCCUACAGCCCUGCUGGCUCGUGAAGGAGUAAUAAAGAUGGAGAGGACACUUUUGCUGCUGCACUGAGCAGGCCAGCUGAGUUGAUCCGGCAGUCCUGGAGAUCCAAUGAGAGACCCUCAGCGUAAUCGCAGACCUAGCGAAAGGCAGAUGAUCUGCCCCAGAACAUGCAGUGCUGGACGCUAACGAGGCCAGGUCUCAGGGCUGGUGCUCGGCGCGGUUCCUGCCGGGUUUGCUGGCUUUGCUGCAGGGCAGUCCUGCCAAGGACCCCGCUGCUAAUCCCGACGGGUAGAUGAGCUGCAUGCAGGUUUACGUGCGUGACUUUUUAGACGUCAGACAGCAAGGAGGGGAGAAACUCCUUCGGAGUUAGCUAAGGAGCUAACUCCUUUAGCUACCCCAGGCAGCUAAAUGACUAGUGAACCUCAAGUCUACUGAUCAGUCUGGCACCCUUGAGCGCAACAGCCUGUGGGCACUUCUGGAAAUCAUCAUCUGUAUUUUUAGGUACGUGAUGAAUCUAACAAUCUGGCUGGGGGUGCCUGAAUCACGACUGAAAAUGGAAUUACAUUCCUUAGUCGUACCAACAUGAUUCACCUCACCUAACCAAGCCAGCUAAAAACCAAGUAUUUAGCUGAAGCAACUUGUCGAAGCUCUGCUUGGCUGGUGGUGAGAGAGUCACGCCUCUGGAAGGGGGUUCUUCCCUCCCCAGGACAGGUGUCCAGGGUAGGAGAGACGUAUUGCCUUCCAGAGAUGCUUGUCUCUGCCCUUUGGCUGCAAAAGGAGCCUUGGAGAUUUCUAGUCUAAGGCAUGAAAGCCUGCAGGUGGACAAAAUUAGAUAAAACAAAUCUUCCACAUAGACACUUCCACAAGUUUUACCCUGCAUUUUUAAAUAGUGCUGUAUAAAUAACAUUGGCGAAUGACACAACCCAGGUCUGCAAGGCAUUAGUGCUCUCCGGCACGCUGUACGUUUCACACUGAGUGCUGUUAGCGGUAGAGGAAAGGCCAAGCCAGACCCUCAGAUCUAAACACGCUCGAGUUUUGGAAAAGUUUGGAUGUGGAGGAGGAUCUGAAAUUUCCUUUUGGCCUCUAUCUUUACAAGGAGUCAAACCCUUCAGUCCAAUAUUGCUGAGCCUUUGAAUAAACAACAUUUUGAUCCAAAUGCUGCAGCCCUGGGCCCACCUCUGCUCCAGGCAAGCUCUGGAUGAGUCAUUCUGGUUUCUCUCCGCUCCGUGGAUAGGUGACACAGUAAAGCUGGGCAGGGCUUUCCUCCACCUUAGUUUUUGUAGACUUUAUUGAGCCAUUUGGGGUUACACCCCAGCGACCUUGAGUAUAAGCCUGGGCUGCAUUUACAGAGUGGACAUGAUGCUAAACAUCCAUACCAAGAUGUAGGCAGGCAGAACGGCUCCUGCAACGUUACGGUCUG